rnacentral:rRNA from 1 species
AUGAUCCAAGCCAAUCAUUACCAAUAUUAUGGCCUGUAAAAGGGUUAUAAAGGCGGUUAAUGGUAUCCAACAAAUAUAAUAUACCUUGAAAUUCAGUUAAUAUUAUUUUAUAAUUAUAAAACAACUUUUAACAACGGAUCUCUUGGUUCUCGCAU